UACGUAGGUCGCAAGCGUUGUCCGGAUUUACUGGGCGUAAAGCGUGCGCAGGCGGUUCUAUAAGUCAGAUGUGAAAUCCCCGGGCUCAACCUGGGAACUGCAUUUGUGACUGUAGAGCUGGAGUGCGGCAGAGGGGGAUGGAAUUCCGCGUGUAGCAGUGAAAUGCGUAGAUAUGCGGAGGAACACCGAUGGCGAAGGCAAUCCCCUGGGCCUGCACUGACGCUCAUGCACGAAAGCGUGGGGAGCAAACAGG
rnacentral:rRNA from 1 species